rnacentral:rRNA from 1 species
AGAGUUUGAUCAUGGCUCAGGACGAACGCUGGCGGCGUGCUUAAUACAUGCAAGUCGAGCGAGGUUACUGUUUUGGAUCCCUUCGGGGUGAAGAAGCUUUAACCUAGCGGCGGACGGGUGAGUAACGCGUGGGUAACCUACCCCAAAGUCCGGGAUAACAGCGGGAAACCGCUGCUAAUACCGGAUGUCUUUACCUUGGGGCAUCUUGAGGUAAAGAAAGGCAACGCUUUGGGAUGGGCCCGCGUCCCAUUAGCUAGUUGGUGAGGUAACGGCUCACCAAGGCGACGAUGGGUAGCCGGCCUGAGAGGGUGGACGGCCACACUGGGACUGAGACACGGCCCAGACUCCUACGGGAGGCAGCAGUAGGGAAUAUUGCGCAAUGGACGGAAGUCUGACGCAGCGACGCCGCGUGAGCGAUGAAGGUCUUCGGAUCGUAAAGCUCUGUCCUUGGGGAAGAAGGCGAAAGCUUGACGGUACCCAAGAAGAAAGCCCCGGCUAACUACGUGCCAGCAGCCGCGGUAAUACGUAGGGGGCGAGCGUUGUCCGGAAUUACUGGGCGUAAAGGGUGCGUAGGCGGCCCUUUAAGUCGGAUGUGAAAGCCCGCGGCUUAACCGCGGAAUGGUAUUCGAAACUGGAGGGCUUGAGUGUCGGAGAGGGUAGUGGAAUUCCCAGUGUAGCGGUGAAAUGCGUAGAUAUUGGGAGGAACACCAGUGGCGAAGGCGACUACCUGGACGAUAACUGACGCUGAGGCACGAAAGCUAGGGGAGCAAACAGGAUUAGAUACCCUGGUAGUCCUAGCCGUAAACGAUGGGUACUAGGUGUGGGUGGUUUCGAUACCAUCCGUGCCGUAGUUAACGCAUUAAGUACCCCGCCUGGGGAGUACGUGCGCAAGCAUGAAACUUAAAUGAAUUGACGG